AUGGCGCUCCGAUUAGUUUUGGCACGUGCUCUCCUCCAGCCAUCGGCGUGGGCACCCGCUCCCGCCGCCGCGGCGGCGAUCGCGGUCGUGCUUUCGCGCCGCCUCUUCAGCAACAGCACCGGCCGCGGCCGCGGCGCACACGUCGACAAGCGCAUCGAGAGGACCAAGGAGGAGCUGCUCAAGUUCUACAAGGGGAAGAACCCCGCGCCCGCGGCGGAGGAAGUGGCGGCCGACCUCACCGGCGUGCUCCGGCGGUUCGAGGCCGCCAAGUCGACGCCGGGCCAGGAGCAGCACGGGUCGAAAACGUUCGCUGAAGAUUCUUUCAUCGGGGAUGCGUUCGUCGGGGAGCCGUUCGCCGGAGAGCACUUCGACACGGAGCCCUACGAGGCGGACGGGUCCGUCGACGGGUACUCCUUCUCGGGGGGCACGUACGAGGGGGACUCCCACUCGGGAGACAUAUACACGCCUUGGGUGGGCCGGGAGACCCGUCGCGGCGGGGACUGA
rnacentral:rRNA from 1 species